rnacentral:rRNA from 1 species
GACGAACGCUGGCGGCGUGCUUAACACAUGCAAGUCGAACGAAAAUACCAAGCUUGCUUGGUUGAUUAGUGGCGAACGGGUGAGUAACACGUGAGUAACCUGCCCCUUACUUUCCUGGAUAACUGCUCGAAAGGGUAGCUAAUACGGGAUAUUCUGACCAGCCUGCAUGGGUUGGUUUGGAAAGGUUGUUUUUCUGGUAAGGGAUGGGCUCGCGGCCUAUCAGCUUGUUGGUGGGGUGAUGGCCUACCAAGGCUUUGACGGGUAGCCGGCCUGAGAGGGUGGACGGUCAAACUGGGACUGAGAUACGGCCCAGACUCCUACGGGAGGCAGCAGUGGGGAAUAUUGCACAAUGGGCGCAAGCCUGAUGCAGCGACGCCGCGUGAGGGAUGAAGGCCUUCGGGUUGUAAACCUCUUUCGUCAGGGAACAAGGCACUGCUUUUUUGGUGGUGUUGAGGGUACCUGGAUAAGAAGCGCCGGCUAACUACGUG